rnacentral:lncRNA from 10 species
GAAAGGAUGCAAACCUUCUGAAAGGUUGGAAGCUCCUGCAGAGCCCCAGGAGAGAAUAGCUGAAAGCAGCUGUUCUAUAACCCUGAGGCAGAGGGCAAGGAGUAAGUACAAAGGAGUGUAGGGGAAUUUAUCUUAAACAGGCUUGUUUACUUAUGUUGACCAGGAACUGACCUUUGAUCAUCCACACACCUGACUUUCUCUGGAAGGAGAACAAUAAAUGUUAAUUACCUACAGGUUGUGUUGGCUCCAGGUUUUUGGCAUUGUGCCUGAGCUGAAUAAAAGCAAGCAGCUCCAGCUUCUCCAGGCUGCUGUCUGGCCGUUAGAGCCAGCCAGUCACCUAGCUGCUUUUAUACUGCAUACCUGUGUCUGAGUACUCAUUUCAUCCAUUGGCCAAGGCCUGUGGGACAGACCUGGCAAGAGCCCAGCCAAGAUGAACCAACUUGCCUACACAACCACCCCCAAGACACUUGGGCUGAGAUAUCCGGCUGAUCCGAACUCCAACAUGAAGCAUCCUUUCUGCUUUAGAUUGACCCCCAAAGAGUGAAGGCACUACUUCUUCCUGCUGCCAUGUGAAGAAAGACCUGUUUGCUUCCCCUUUCAUCAUGAUUGUAAGUUUCCUGAGGCC